UUUAAGUAUAAUUGGAUUUUUUUUGAUGUUUCUAAGAUUUCGAUCUAACUUAAAUGAUGCAUCUUGUUGUUUUGAAGUGAUACAAAAUAUAAAAUGGUUAGUGAGAUGUUGCAUGCUACAAGAAGCAACUUGAAAUAUCUUAAAAUCAACUAGUGAGGUGGAAAAUAUAAAUUAAUACAAUCAAUUACAUAUAUAUUUAAAGUACAACAUACAUACCAAUAUCUAAAAUCUUGUCGAGUGGCGAUGCCUCUCGUAGAUAUCUAGAUCAUUAGCAUAGUCAAGAGGCACAUCAACCCACUGCUCUAGCCAAGUGGCGUUGUAGUCUUGUAUGUUCAUUCCAUAAGUAACGCGCUUUGAGUUAUAAGCACUCUCGGAUCUCUUACUAAAGCUCUGGCUUUAAGAGGUAUUCUCUGACUGAUAUACGACUUUGGAGGGUCCAAUCGAAGAUGCGGCAGCAAAAUCUGAUCCGUAAGAUGCUCCAGGCUGUGUAGGGUAGUAGCUACCAGAAGACAACGCCUCAGACGCACCAUAUCUAUAUCCAUAUCCGUAUGAAUUAUAGGAUGCUUGUGGUUGCGGGUAAUAGGAUCUAGUAUAUGACUCAAAAGCUGAUGUCUAUGGAUUCUACUCCAUGUGUGAAGUCAUCAGCAGCUGCAUCAUGUCCUUCUGAAUGAUCUCGAGGAGCCCGUUUUCUAUAUGCAAUCGUAUUCUUGUUGGCUCUACCAGACCGUGCACCGUGGUCUCUAUCAUGUGUAAACUAGGACUCCGGUGAAUCAAAGACUACCUUGCGGUUGCGGCUAUCUCAUAAAUGGUUGUCUUAUGUUCUCCACUUUCUUUCUAGCCACUAGAUCCAUGAUCAUCAAAACUG
rnacentral:lncRNA from 1 species